GUGGGGAAUAUUGCACAAUGGGGGAAACCCUGAUGCAGCGACGCCGCGUGGAGGAAGAAGGUCUUCGGAUUGUAAACUCCUGUUGUUGAGGAAGAUAAUGACGGUACUCAACAAGGAAGUGACGGCUAACUACGUGCCAGCAGCCGCGGUAAAACGUAGGUCACAAGCGUUGUCCGGAAUUACUGGGUGUAAAGGGAGCGCAGGCGGGAGAACAAGUUGGAAGUGAAAUCCAUGGGCUCAACCCAUGAACUGCUUUCAAAACUGUUUUUCUUGAGUAGUGCAGAGGUAGGCGGAAUUCCCGGUGUAGCGGUGGAAUGCGUAGAUAUCGGGAGGAACACCAGUGGCGAAGGCGGCCUACUGGGCACCAACUGACGCUGAGGCUCGAAAGUGUGGGUAGCAAACAGGAUUAGAUACCCUUGUAGUCC
rnacentral:rRNA from 1 species